UACGUAGGGUGCGAGCGUUGUCCGGAAUUAUUGGGCGUAAAGAGCUCGUAGGCGGCUUGUCACGUCGGAUGUGAAAGCCCGGGGCUUAACUCCGGGUCUGCAUUCGAUACGGGCUAGCUAGAGUGUGGUAGGGGAGAUCGGAAUUCCUGGUGUAGCGGUGAAAUGCGCAGAUAUCAGGAGGAACACCGGUGGCGAAGGCGGAUCUCUGGGCCAUUACUGACGCUGAGGAGCGAAAGCGUGGGGAGCGAACAGG
rnacentral:rRNA from 1 species